rnacentral:rRNA from 1 species
CAGUCGCCGCGGUAGUACGUAGGUGGCAAGCGUUGUCCGGAAUUAUUGGGCGUAAAGGGCUCGCAGGCGGUUUCUUAAGUCUGAUGUGAAAGCCCCCGGCUCAACCGGGGAGGGUCAUUGGAAACUGGGAAACUUGAGUGCAGAAGAGGAGAGUGGAAUUCCACGUGUAGCGGUGAAAUGCGUAGAGAUGUGGAGGAACACCAGUGGCGAAGGCGACUCUCUGGUCUGUAACUGACGCUGAGGAGCGAAAGCGUGGGGAGCGAAUAGGAUUAGAUACCCGCGUAGUCCCUGUCUCUUAUCC